UUGAACGCUGGCGGCAGGCCUCACACAUGCCAGUCGAGCGGAUGAAGGGAGCUUGCUCCUGGAUUCAGCGGCGGACGGGUGAGUAAUGCCUAGGAAUCUGCCUGGUAGUGGGGGAUAACGUCCGGAAACGGGCGCUAAUACCGCAUACGUCCUGAGGGAGAAAGUGGGGGAUCUUCGGACCUCACGCUAUCAGAUGAGCCUAGGUCGGAUUAGCUAGUUGGUGGGGUAAAGGCCUACCAAGGCGACGAUCCGUAACUGGUCUGAGAGGAUGAUCAGUCACACUGGAACUGAGACACGGUCCAGACUCCUACGGGAGGCAGCAGUGGGGAAUAUUGGACAAUGGGCGAAAGCCUGGUCCAGCCAUGCCGCGUGUGUGAAGAAGGUCUUCGGAUUGUAAAGCACUUUAAGUUGGGAGGAAGGGCAGUAAGUUAAUACCUUGCUGUUUUGACGUUACCGACAGAAUAAGCACCGGCUAACUUCGUG
rnacentral:rRNA from 1 species